rnacentral:hammerhead_ribozyme from 1 species
AUCGAGAUGACGAGUCCCAUAUAAGACGAAGUGCGCGUCCUCUAU